rnacentral:tRNA from 1 species
AUCAGAGUGGUGCAGCGGAAGCGUGGUGGGCCCAUAACCCAUAAGUCGGAGGAUCGAAACCUCCCUCUGAUA